ensembl:lncRNA
ACUGUCGGUGACAUCACGGAGAGGGCGACUUCUAUGUAGAUAAGGGAGCGCAGGGGCUCCUGCUUCCCCACCUGCUGCUUCGCCACGAAGGAGUGUUCCCGUGCCAUGGAGGCAGGUUCAGGACCGCUGGUCGGAACUGAGAGUCCCAGUUGUCUGUCAGGGCAAGAAGGACUCGGGAGUGCGCGGGGCAAGUGACCGUGUAAGGAGCUGGUGCUACGCUGUUCUCCUCUGUUCUCCUGACCCCUGGGAAUUCUGGGAAAGUGGUUCACUGUAAAAGUGCUGACAAUGGGUGUUUCCACCGUUCCUGUGACAGAGAGCCCGGACUUCAGCUGCUGAAGAAGAACUCGGACCUAACUCUCCAGAGCGGGACCUUUACUUUGGCACAGAGUUGGUCCUUAGCUAAAUAAAAAUUGAAAAGGGGAGAUUUUAAAUGUUCAUCUAAUUGAGACUUUAUAUAAUAGAUCUUUUUAUUUUAUUGUGGCAACAAGAGGAGAGAUUGCAUUCUUAGGUUUUUAUUGUUGGAACUUAAUAAUAUUGGCUAUUCUACUGCUUUUGUGGAAUUGUUUGGUCUAUGCUGGUACAUGGUACUUGCUAUGAAACACUGUCUGGUGAACUGGAUAGGCAAGUAGCUAAAGAAAACGUCAUAAGAAACAGAAAUAGGAGUUGAGUCCAAUCUCUCUCCUGCACUGCAAGAUUCUGUUGCAGUGGUCCCUACACCUAUUGCCAUAGCACCCCUCAAGUUUUCUUUAAAGCUAAGAAAACAGAAAUAGAGGAUGGAUUCUCAAAUAGAUAUACCUAGAGUUAGGUAAAGUCUUAUUUUGAUUCUUUCAGAGGUUUGGAUGUCUUAGUUAUGUCAGGCUGCCGUAACAAAAUACCAUCUACUGGGUGACUUAAACAUUUAUUUCUCACAGUUCUGGAGGCUGAGAUGUCCAAGAUGCCAGCAAGUUUGGCUCUUGGUGAGAGUCCUCUUCCUAGCUUCUAGAUAGUGAUUUUUGUUUUUUUUACAGUAUUUACCUUGGCAAUAAUAAUCUUAUUUUUCCAUUUGGUUAGUUUUCCAUGUAUUUAUUACUUAAUAUUAGCCAAUUUCUCCCCAUUUCUGUAAAUCUCCCGUCAACACAUAGAAACACACAAUCAUUUUUGUUGGUUUGCUUCCUUGUAUGUUUGUUCAAGAAAUUUUUCCUGGCUGGGCGUGGUGGCUCAUGCCUGUAAUCCCAGCACUUUGGGAGGCCCAGGCAGGUGGAUCACCUGAGAUCAGGAACUCGAGAUCAGCCUGGUCAGCGUGGUGAAACUCCAUCUUUACUAAAAAUACAAAAAUUAGUUGGGCAUGGUGGCGGGCACCUGUACUCCCAGCUCCUAGGGAAACUGAGGCUGGCAGGCACCUGUAAUCCCAGCUACUCGGGAAGCUGAGGCAGGAUAAUCGCUUGAACCCGGGAGGCAGAGGUUGCAGUGAGCCAAGAUUGCGCCAUUGCACUCCAGCCUGGGCAAAAGAGUGAGACUCCUUCUCAAACAAACAAACAAAAAUAAAUAAAGAAAGAAAUUUUUCCUAGCAUGUUUCUACCUGCUCCAUUCUGGAUGACUUGCUCUUCAGGCUUAUCUCAGAGCUGUUAUCAUAAUAUCUCUCUUUACUACACCAUCUUGGGAUUUCCAUUACCUCUCUCUUUUGUUAGAUCCCCUGCUUCAUGGAUCUCAAGGCGGUUCAUUCCUCACUCACUCCUUCCUCUUGAUGAUGCAUAUCCUCCAAAACCUCCUAUAAAGUGGUUACCUUAGAAAUAAACUUCUUGAGACACUGCGUGUCUGAAAACAUCUAUUUUACCCAUACACUUAACUGAUAUUUUACUAGAUAGAGAUAUAAAGAGAUAGGCUGAAAUAAUUUCUCUCAGAUUUUUAAAGGCAUUGCUUUUUUUUUUUUUUUGGACAGAGUCUCGCCUCUCUUUGUCCCCCAGGCUGGAGUGGGGGGGCGGGAUCUCGGCUCACUGCAACCUCCACCUCCCGGGUUCAAGCGAUUCUCCUGCCUUGGCCUCGAGUAGCUGGGAUUACAGGCACCCGCCACCACGCCCCGCUAAUUUUUUUGUUUUUAGUAGAGACGAGGUUUCACCAUGUUGGCCAAGCUGGUUUUGAGAGAGGAGACCACUCUUCAUAUUGUCUUAUUCUUAAUUUCUUGUUUGCUGAAAAAGUGGACGUUGAAAGAAUGGGCAGAAGUGAAAAUCACGGUCAGAUAACCGGACGCCACAUUUUGGGCCUGGUUGUUAAAAUUCAACCCCUGAUCUCACCACUUGUGCUAUCUAUAAAUUCCAGACAUUGUAUAAAAAAGCAUUAUGAAAC